GUAGUUAGAGCCACAAGAGGCUUGUUGUUGUUACCAACAGAAUUAAAUUUAUAUUUUAACUACU
rnacentral:tRNA from 1 species